CUAAGAAUCUUCCGCAAUGGGCGAAAGCCUGACGGAGCGACGCCGCGUGAACGAUGAAGGCCGAAAGGUUGUAAAGUUCUUUUCUCAGGGAAGAAUAAGGAUAAGAGUGGAAAGCUUGUCUGAUGACAUUAACUGAGGAAUAAGCCCCGGCCAAUUACGUGCCAGCAGCCGCGGUAAUACGUAUGGGGCGAGCGUUGUUCGGAAUUAUUGGGCGUAAAGGGCGUGUAGGCGGUUUCAUAAGCCUGGUGUGAAAUACCCCAGCUCAACUGGGGGAGCGCGCUGGGAACUGUGAGACUAGAGUUCAGGAGAGGAAGCUGGAAUUCCAGGUGUAGGGGUGAAAUCUGUAGAUAUCUGGAAGAACACCAAUGGCGAAGGCAAGCUUCUGGCCAUGGACUGACGCUGAGGCGCGAAAGCGUGGGGAGCAAACAGG
rnacentral:rRNA from 1 species